rnacentral:rRNA from 1 species
AUACGGGGGGUGCAAGCGUUACUCGGAAUCACUGGGCGUAAAGCGCGCGCAGGCGGCUAUUUAAGUUGGAUGUGAAAGCCUACGGCUCAACCGUAGAACUGCAUCCAAAACUAUUUAGCUAGAGUGUGGGAGAGGAAGAUGGAAUUAGUUGUGUAGGGGUAAAAGCCGUAGAGAUAACUAGGAAUACCAAAAGCGAAGGCAAUCUUCUGGAACACUACUGACGCUGAGGCGCGAAAGCGUGGGGAGCAAACGGGAUUAGAAACCCUAGUAGUCC